rnacentral:tRNA from 1 species
GAACUGGUGGUUCAGCGGUAGAAUUCUCGCCUUCCAUGCGGGAAACCUGGGUUUAAUUCCUGGCCAAUACA